rnacentral:rRNA from 1 species
UAGUGUGAAUUGCAGAAUUCAGUGAAUCAUUCGAAUCUUUCGAACGCACAUUGCGCCCCUUGGUAUCCCGAGGGGCAUGCCUGUUCG